rnacentral:rRNA from 1 species
AAGUUCCUUGGAACAGGACGUCAUAGAGGGUGAGAAUCCCGUGCUUGGCUGGCUGUCCCCGUCCAUGUGAGGUGUCUUCGACGAGUCGAGUUGUUUGGGAAUGCAGCUCAAAAUGGGUGGUAAAUUUCAUCUAAAGCUAAAUAUUGGUGGGAGACCGAUAGCGCACAAGUAGAGUGAUCGAAAGAUGAAAAGCACUUUGAAAAUAGAGUUAAAAAGUACGUGAAAUUGUUGAAAGGGAAGCGCUUGAGACCAGACUUCGGUGGGGAGUGAUCAGCCGUCCUUCUGGGCGGUGCACUUGCCCCCCUCCGGGCCAGCAUCGGUUGGGACGGCGGGAUAAAGGUCCCGGGAAUGUGGCUCCUCUCGGGGAGUGUUAUAGCCCGGGUGAAUGCCGCCAGCCCCGACCGAGGACCGCGCCUUCGGGCUAGGAUGCUUGGCAUAAUGGUCUUCAGCGACCCGUCUUGAAACACGGACCAAGGAGUCUAACAUCUAUGCGAGUGUUUGGGUGUCAAACCCUUGCGCGAAAUGAAAGUGAACGGAGGUGGGAACCCGCAAGGGUGCACCAUCGACCGGUCCCGAAGUCUUCUGAAGGAUCUGAGUAGGAGCAUAGCUGUUGGGACCCGAAAGAUGGUGAACUAUGCCUGAAUAGGGUGAAGCCAGAGGAAACUCUGGUGGAGGCUCGCAGCGGUUCUGACGUGCAAAUCGAUCGUCAAAUUUGGGUAUAGGGG